GCCUAGGCUUUUUAUUUUUUUAAAAAAAGGGUUGUUGCUUUUUCUCUACUCGGGUUUUACCCCAGCUUCAGCCGCCGCUUUUUCACCACACUUCCACCACAGUUUCGCCGUGAUCGGUGGUCGGAGGCACGCCGAGUUGGUUUUUUAACCCCCUUUGAGCAGAUCUGAAGGCUAGAAAAGAAAAAAUCACCUUAUCUCAAAUUUUGAUUUCUUUUUCUAAUGAUUUUGUCUCUGUGAAAAACUUACAAAUAUUUUCUCCCCCUUUUAUAACCCCGUAUUCAAAAUGAAAUAAAAACAGAGAAAAAAUACAAUUUUUUCUUUUCUGUUGCGUUAUUUUUGUUCUAUUUGCAGGUACUGUGUACGGAGGCGGUGGACGUAGAGAGUACGAAGGUGCACGUGAGGGCAGAGGAUUGGCAUGCGCAGAGGAGGGUUUGGCUGCUGUGGUGCUGGGAGCCGACUGUUGCUAGGGUAUUUGGGCCACUUGGGUUUGGUUUAUUGGGCUCUGUAAUAUUUGGGCUUAUUUUUCGUAACUGGACUUUUACAUUGUAAAUGGGCUGUGAACUAUUUGGUUUUAAAAAAAAAUUAUUUGGUUUUUUAUUA